rnacentral:tRNA from 1 species
GGGGUUGUGGCUCAAUGGUAGAGCGCUCACCUGGCGUGUGCGAGGCCCUGGGUUCGGCCCUCAAUACCA